GCCGUCAUAGCUCAACUGGGAGAGCGCCGCCCAUUUAAGGCGGGACAACGCUGGUGACACCACAUGGCUGUUACAACCCGAUACAUCCGAGGCACUGAACCAUGCUCCGGCGGGGGCCUGUGGGUGCCGGUUCAAAUCCGGCUGACGGCU
rnacentral:tRNA from 1 species